rnacentral:rRNA from 1 species
GAACGGGUGAGUACACGUGGGUGAUCUGCCCUGCACUUUGGGAUAAGCCUGGGAAACUGGGUCUAAUACCGAAUAGGACCACGCGCUUCAUGGUGUGUGGUGGAAAGCUUUUGCGGUGUGGGAUGGGCCCGCGGCCUAUCNGNNNGUUGGUGGGGUAAUGGCCUACCAAGGCGACGACGGGUAGCCGGCCUGAGAGGGUGACCGGCCACACUGGGACUGAGAUACGGCCCAGACUCCUACGGGAGGCAGCAGUGGGGAAUAUUGCACAAUGGGCGCAAGCCUGAUGCAGCGACGCCGCGCGAGGGAUGACGGCCUUCGGGUUGUAAACCUCUUUCAAUAGGGACGAAGCGCAAGUGACGGUACCUAUAGAAGAAGCACCGGCCAACUACGUGCCAGCAGCCGCGGUAAUACGUAGGGUGCGAGCGUUGUCCGGAAUUACUGGGCGUAAAGAGCUCGUAGGUGGUUUGUCGCGUUGUUCGUGAAAACUCACAGCUUAACUGUGGGCGUGCGGGCGAUACGGGCAGACUAGAGUACUGCAGGGGAGACUGGAAUUCCUGGUGUAGCGGUGGAAUGCGCAGAUAUCAGGAGGAACACCGGUGGCGAAGGCGGGUCUCUGGGCAGUAACUGACGCUGAGGAGCGACAGCGUGGGGAGCGAACAGGAUUAGAUACCCUGGUAGUCCACGCCGUANACGGUGGGUACUAGGUGUGGGUUCCUUCCUUGGGAUCCGUGCCGUAGCUAACGCAUUGAGUACCCCGCCUGGGGAGUACGGCCGCAAGGCUAAAACUCAAAGGAAUUGACGGGGGCCCGCACAAGCGGCNNNGCAUGUGGAUUAAUUCG